rnacentral:rRNA from 1 species
CCCUAUGGGGUGCCGCAGGAGGUUUUCUUGAUAAAUAUGGUUACCCUUUCUGCCGUGGAAGAAUUUUCCUAAGUAUUGAAGAAGACCUGGGGCAGUAUGAUGAUCAAAUUGAAAUAUUCUGGGCGACAGGAGCCUGUAUGUUUGUCAGGGCAAGACUAUUUCACGAAUAUGGCGGUUUGGAUGAAGAUUUUUUCGCCCAUAUGGAAGAAAUUGAUUUUUGCUGGCGCCUUCAGAAUGCAGGAUUUAAAAUAAUGUAUUGUCCGCAUUCUACAGUAUUUCAUAUUGGCGGGGGGGC